UACAUGUGUGUAUGAUAAUAAAGUUUUCCUUGAGUAUGGAUGCUUUAUUAUCCAUGCAUGCGUAACAAGUUUACUUUGCAUAAGGUUUUAUUUAUGUAUAGUUCUGAUUUUCAGUUGAGUUUUACAUGAACCUUUUAUCUUUCACAAUAAUCAUGUGCUGCCCCACCCAAAUGCUAGUAAAUGACUUAAACUGCUUUUUCUUACUCUAACUCCUUUGUGCUGUAGUUGCUACUACCUCUACAUUCAUGUACAUGUACUUGUAGUGCAUAGUAUUAGUACUAAAUAUUACUUGAAAAGUAAUCAAGAAAUGCAAACUUGCAGCUUAAUUUCUGAGUAGUGCAAAGGGAAGACACUUAAGGCCAAUUCACACUGCAAAAUUAAAGUAAGCGUAGGUACAUGUGUAAUUAGGCUAUAGGUUAAGACAGGAAGUGCUGUAUAAACCAAUGGCUGCAGUUUACUUAUGGUAAAAAUAGAGAUUGUUUCUAUUCUUACCUUAUGUAAAUGGUUGCCAUUGGUUUAUACAGCCCUUCCUGUUGUAACAUAUACGUAGCCUUCACCUUACGUUAUUUUUGCAGUGUGAAUCAGCUUUUAAAGGCCCCCAUAUACUAGGCAAAACUUGCAACAUUUGUGGUUACUUUGGUCUUGUAAGCAACUUGUUGCCUGGUGUAUGUGGGCCUUUAGAGCGUUUGCACAAACUGUGCAAUUGGUAAAGUUUUGUGCCUGUUAUAUGCUUCUGUUUUCACUGAAAUGAAUGAAAACUGUGAUAGAUACUUAAUAGAACUCUAUGGAACAAAAAAGUUUUACCAUUGUAUCAUUUUAAAAACAAUGCGUUUUGCAUUGCUGUUUAAACCCAACCUAAGAAAACUUUUGACAGUAGAGGACAAAAAAAGUUCACAUUCUACAGAAAUGAAACGAAACGACUUAAAUUACAUUACUCUGUGUUGCAUUACAGCACCGUUUAAACGAUUAAAAGUGGAAGGUUUCCGUUUUAUUGCCGUUUAUACGGAAAUAGAACGAUGUACAGUAAAUUACACAUGGGUGCAGCAUGGUUGACUGGUUGAAGAAGAGAUUUAGUGGUUCACUGAGGAUUCACUCAAGGCAUGUUUCUUCUACCUGAGCUACACGAAAGACGAAACCAUAGGCAAACGUUUAGCAACGAAUCUCAACCCUCUGAAGCGGAAAGAAAUCAGUGGAUAGGAGUACUAAAGAGCAUCACAGAUUGGCAGAAUUAACUGAUUUGUAGUCAAAGCAAAACUAUUUAUUUGUAUAAACAACAACAAACACACGCAAUAAAUUUUCUUCUUUAUUUCUGAUAUGGGUAAAAAUUUCAACCUACAGCGAAAA